GUAGAGCGGAACAGAGAGAUAGCGUUAUUCUUCAUUUUCCUUCUCCUCUUCCCUGUCGCACCGCCUUUCUGUUCUUGUUGUUGAUCUUCUUUGCUCACAAUCAGCCGGGUCUUGUCUUUUCCUCAUCGUCAUGUCCUGCCGCUAGGAGUAUUGCUGUCACCAGAUUCCUUUCCUCAUCGCUGCCCCUAUUUCAUUCUGAUCUUCCCUGCUUCAUCGUCGCACGUUGAAGCUUCUCCUCUCUUUCUUCAACGUCGAGCCAUCUCUGUCUAGUCCUUGUCGUUGAUUUCUCCACUGCUGUCGACUGGAGCUAUCCUCGCGGUCGUGUUUGGCUGCUUGAGGUGAUGAAGUCGUUGCUUCUUCCAUCGUUGUUCUGUGUUUGUUCGGUCUUUAUUUUCCUUUCCACCUUAUUUGUUGAGUCUUGUGCAUGGGAUAAGCUUGUUGCUACUCUUCUCUGUCACUGUUGUUAGCCAUGUAAGCUUGAAAUUUCAACUCUGUAAAAUUUAGACCAGCCACCUUUUCCCUCCUUUGAUCAUCAUUGAAGCAAAUAUGGUAUUCUAGAGAGUAUGGCUGCCAUGGAAACUUUGAGUUAAUUAAUUGUUUUCUUGUUUCUUCGUUCGAUGGUGUGCCUAAGUCCUCUCCCUUCUAUAUUGGUGGAUGUCACAAUUUUUAGGGAAUUGAGGUGCAUUUUAGUUAAUUUUGUGUGUUGUUUAUUUUGAUGAUAAGCUGAAUAUGGAUGAUGGAGGCUCAUUGUGAACUAAAUUUGAGUGCACUCGAGAGAUUUGUAGAAAUAUUUAAAUGAAGAAUUUAGGUUCUUUUUGAAUAAUAUUCGAUGCUAUUUUAUUAAUGUUGAGCUGAAUAUUGGUGAAGAAAUUAGAUAUUGAAAAUUGUUGAACUUGCUUGGAUGCUUGUUUCAUGAGUUAGUUAAUGGUGAUUGUUCUUUUAAUGCUUGUAAAUAUGCUUAAAAUGUUUGUUGGUGAAAAUAAGAUUGUUAAAUUUUUAUAGUGGAGCAUAGAGAAAUUAAAAAUAUUUCUGACGGAGUAUAUGUCUUUACAUGCAAGAUAUAUAGUUAAAAUAUUCAUUGAAAUUGUGUAGCACUUAAAAGGAAGUCAUUAGACUAUAUGAUAAUUAAGAUUUUUGUUAAGUCUAAUAUAAGGGCUAUGUUAAUGGUUGAAAUUGAAUGCUACUAUGUAUUGUCAAACUAUUUGAUAGAAGUUAUUAAAGUGUUCAAUGAAAGUUUAAGGGGUUUAUAAGAAGUUUAAAGGAUUAUUAUCGAAUAUUUGGAUGUUAAUUUUGCUCCUUUAUUAUGAGGAGGGAAAUUCAUAAUGACAUAAGAAUUGUUGGAUCUUGUGUUAAUUAUUUGCUCGUUUAAUUUUAUUUAGCUACACGAUAGGCAAACUCCUCAUUUCAAUUCUCUUCUUUCCUCUUGGUUUUCUUGAGCUUUUAAAAGAGGUAAGUUUUAAAUUUUGAUACUAAAGACUUUGUUCUUAAAAACUUUGAUUUCUUUGGGUCUUUGAGAAGUUCUUUUUGAGUUUCUAUAUGAUGCUUUAAUAUUUUGAGCGAGCAAUUGAAUAAAAAGAGAGUUUUAAGGCAAAAAUUCAAAUUCCAAAGGAUUGGAUUUUGCUCUUUAAUAGUUUAAACCUAUUGAAUUAGUUAUAAUUGUGUUAUUUGAAUCUAAUUAGAUUUAAAUUAAGUUUUAGUUUUCAUUAUAAGGCCUAAUUAUAAAAGUUGGCAAUACUAAGUAAAUGUUUUUGUUGAUUAAAAAUUGUAUGGUUUGAAAAUUGGCCUAAUGAUGACUAAUACGUGGUUUUGAUGGUUAAAUGAUAUUAUGAGAAUGAUUUGUUUAAUACUUGGAUCAAUGAGAUGGAUUAUGGCUCAUCGACUCAAGUUAUGUGGUAUGAAUUAUAGUCUUAUUUUAUAUUAUUUGCCAUGAUAAAUAAUAUGGAUCAUUUAUAUGUUGUAUAUAUUGUUGAUGAAAUUUAUUGAAAAGUUAAAGAACAGUUCAAGUCUUCUUUUUAUACAAGCAUUAUCACAGAAAAAAGCUAUAGGAGUGCCCAUGUAGGAGCGUUUUAAAUUGAAAAUGUUCUUAAAAAAACGAUACGGAGCAUACUGGAGAGUUUCUGUUUUAAAAUGCUACGGUCAUAGCGUCUGCCAUAAAAAGCGCUCCCAUGAAGCUUUAUUUUUUUUUAAAUUUUUUUAAAAUAGCUUAGCAACCUACAGGAGCAUUUUUAGCUUAAAAAUGCUCCCCGUAGGCCUUUACUCUAUCGGAGCGUUUUAGGCCCAAGAAGCUCUGGUAGGUUUCAAUCUUGUUUUUUAAUUUUUAAACGGCUUCCAUCUUUCAUUCUGUCACACUAGGUUUCCUCUUCGAAGCUUUCCGUUCGUUCGACACCGUGAAGCUCUUCUCUCCCGCCGUGAAUAGACUCACCAUUCAUCUUUGCUGUUCCCUUUCCAGCACGAAUAGCUGUCAUCCUCACGUGUUUUCCAUUCAGUCGCGAGUCCACCGUUCCAGACCAGUCCGAACCAGAUCCAGUUCUCUCUUUAAUUUGUUUAUCGUGCGUUCUGCUUCUCCUCGUCCGUGCUCCAUCCGCGUCGGCCCUCCUCACCCAGUCGUGCUCCAUUGAGGUCAGAUCCAGUUCAUAUCGUGUUGUGCCUCUUCCAAAGCAGCGUUUCGAUGUCCUGUUGUCACAUCUUCCGGUGUUUCGGUUUCCAAGAAGUGUCCGAGGAGGCCAGAAGAUGCUGUUGCUGUAUAUGCAUCAAGAGGGGAAGCUGAGAAAGAACUAGGGCAAAAUUUCGCUUAAAGGAAAUGUGCUGGGACCAAUGUUGUUGAGAAGGCAACAAUCCAUGGAGCUACCAGGGGAAGCCAUAAUUCUUACAAGAUUGGCCUUAGGAGUUUUAAAUCUUGCUAUUGUUUUUCCACAGUGGCAUUCACCAGCCUAGUUUUUGCUGCUAUUCCCAUACUGUUUGUGACAGCAACUACUCAUAAAGAAAGUUGCUGUUGGAUAAGAUAUUAUUUUGUUGAAUAGACUGUUAACUUCUUUAGGCCAAGAAUUACUGAGAUGCCCAAUGCAAGUCUUUCAAGAUGGAAGAAUUAAAAGAUUUAAUAGAGUGAUUAGCAAUAUGUCAUGAGAUGUUUACAAGGUCUAGACAAAAGAUCUAGUGGUGGACGAGAAAAGGAGCAGAGUUAGGAGUUGUUUGUAGAUUGUAAAGAAUUGCAACCCUUUCUUUUAAGCAAAUUUAUUGCAAUGUAUUUAGGAUUGGGAUGCCAGUAGGAUGUGAUUAUAUAUAUGUGUGUGAAUAUGUGUGGAUUGUAUGUUUUUGUAUGAAUUUUUGUCUGCUUGUAGACUUUGACUAGAAAACUUGGUUACGAUGUAUGGUUUUAAUGGAUUCAUUUGGUAGACUAAAUUUUCACUACAAGCAAAUGUUUAUUUUAAUAUGUAUAUGAAUAUAUGUGAUUUUACAAGAAAAUGCAAAGUGGUUGCAUUAUAAAUUGUGUGCGAUGGGUAAACAUACACCGUGGAUAGAGAGAGUGGGUGCAUGGGCCCUAUGGGAAUCUUUGAGUUAAGUGAAAAUGUUUAGUACGUGUAUUCAUGUGUAUAUGGUGUUUGGAAUGGUUUUUGGCUACUCUUAUGUGAUUUGUGAAUUUUAAAGGCUUAGAGUUCAUGUUGAAAAAUGGCACUCGAAUGCUUAAAUUUUGAUAUAAGGGUUUUUCAUCAUUUAAAUAUUCUAUUAGGUACUUUUAGUCGUAUUUGACAUGGCCAAAGUGUUUACACAAAUUUAUGACCUUUUGGAUGAAAUUUAGACAAUUUUGAAAAUGAUUUUUACUAAAAAGUUGUAUUUUUGCGUUUGGGUGUCCAAAUUUUAAUUGACCAUUGGAUUUUCCUGAAAUUUGGCUUACAAUAAAUAUUUUUAUAAUUUUUGUGUUGGCUUUGGAAUCAUCUCGAUUGGAUAUCGAACAGAGAAAUGGCACAUUCUGAAAGUUGGUCUAGAGAUGUUGUCAGUCAUGACAGCAACAAUUGCUGAGGUUGGGAUGUGCAUAAAUUUUGAUCUGACCAUUGAUUUUUUUAAAUUUGAUACACUUGUGGUACUCUUUGAAUGUGACGUGAGCUCUAGAAUUAAUUGGAUGACAAAAUGGUGUACUUUGGAAGUUGAUUCGAGAGUAUUGUUAUGAUAGCAAAAAUGCCAAACUUGUAAUAUGUUCAAAUUUUAAUUCGACCAUUGAAUUUUUUAAAAUUUAAAACACUAUUGGUACUCUUAACAAGUGACAUGUAAGCUUUUGAAAUCACUUCAAUUUGAGGUCAGACGGUGAAUCAAUGCCUUUCGAAAGUUUUCCCGAGAGGGACAUCGUGAUAGCAAUUAAUUGCCCUUGUUUACUUAAUUUGCUUCCGUGCACUACAUAGUAAUCAUUCAAACUUUUCUGAGGUUUUAAAUGUUUGUUUUACUAUUGUAUAGAUUGUUUGGUAAUUUAAUUGUUUUUUUUAAGUUGGUUUUAGGAUCAACUCUUUAACUACACUUAGUUUUCUUGAGUUGUGGUGUGAUUUUAUUAACGCUAGGGGAAAGUAUUACAGAGGUGCUAGCCUUGUGAGAUGGCCAACACAUGUGGAAUGGAGGGAUGGUUAUUUGUGAACAUAGUACUCACGUUUGUUUUGUUGGGCUUUGUGUCUACACUUGAUUUCAUGAGUUUUGUUCUUGCACUUGUUUUUGUGGCUUCGAGCCAUACUUGUUGGUUACUUACCCUCGUGGACAAUGUAUCCAUGAUUGUUGGUUAUUUACCCUUAUGGACUAUGCGUCCAUGCUUGUUAAUCGUUCUGAUAAAGUUAUGCUAAAACAUGAAGUUUUGGAAACUGAUAAUGUUUUUUCAAAUUUAUUCUAUUAAUCAAACUGUCGUUUGAUCAUAUAUGAUUUUACACAAUAAAUUAUAUAAUUCAAUUGUUUAAGAUAGAGAAUGUUGCUUGGGAUGUUGAACUUGAUUUCUCCAUUAUCUGUAAUUAAAUAUAUAAAUUUAUAUACUUAAUUUAUGUUUUUGUAUAUGAUUGUUUAAAAAAAAAUAAAAUGAUGAAUAAAAUGAGCUUUAAUAUGUUAAUGGUUAUUUUUCUUAUUGGAUUCAUAAAUGUUCUCUUCAUUUUUAUAAUCUCAAUUGGGAUGUUACUUAUCAAAAAUUGUCUUUGGUCUCAUAUAUUGAAGUUGACCCUAUAUCUUCUAUUGAUCAUUACGGGACACAAUUGUUUUCCUGGAAAGUGGAAGUAUAUAUGGACCAUUUAUUUUGAUGUACUUUUGUAUUACAUUAUCAAUUGUAAUUUAGUGCUUCAUGUAUACUAUGGUUUUCUAGUUUUAUUUUCUUGUGAAAUUUGUUGGUAUGAAGCUAAGCUCCUUUUGGUUUGGCUAAAAGGUUUGUUAUUGUAGAAAUUUAGAAGGUCCUAAUUAUAGGAGAGACUUUAUUGAAAUUUUUACAGAAUGCUUAAAAUUUUACAAAUCUUAAAUUUAGUCAUAAAUUAUAUAUUAUUAUCUUAAAUUAAUUUUCUAGUUAAUUGAGACUUAUGAAAUGUGAGUCUAUCUUAUAUUUUAUUUCGGUCACACCCUCAGUUCUGGGGUGUGGCAUAAAUGGCAUUCUUCAUAGUUAGAAUCAAGAUACUUUAUGAUCUCUAACUGAUCUAAUCUAUGAUGUAUGAGUAUGCCAGCCUUCAUUCUUUUCAAUUAGCAUAAUAACUAUAUGGCUGCUUUUCAAUCCAAAUAUCUACCUAACAUUUCUUAGAAUGUACACAAAUCUAAAUACAUACAAAUCAAAGUAUAAAUUAGACUUCCAAUAGCUAAUUAAUGUAUAGGAAAUCUCUUGCAUUUCCUUAAUUUCAAGGUGGUAACUAAAGCAUUAUUUGAAAGCUAAGCUUGAUGCACUAUAAAUAUUUGCAUGCUGUAUGCCAAACCUUUUGGACAUUUUAUGUCAUGACACAAAAAUUAAAAUAAAUAAAAAUUAAUAAUUAAAUAUUUUUUAUUGUAUUUUUAAUUAUUUUGGAACAAAUUUAAUAAGAGGGAGAGUUGAUCUAAUGGAAAUUUUGUUAAUAAAUUAUCUAUUAGGUCCCUGUUCAAAUCUUGCUAUUAUUGGAGGAGAUUUUUUCCCCUUUAUUUGAGUCUUCCUUAAAAUCACCAAACUGCCCUCUAUUUUAUUUUAAAAAAACUAAUUUGAUAUCAUAUUUUUAUUUCACUUUCUCCUUUCUUCGAAUGAUCUGGAUACUUCAAACAGAAAAAAUAUUCUCUGCCUCUCCCGUCUUCUUUCUUCUGUCUUACGAUCUCCUCAGCCUCAUACCUUCGAUGCUUCGUUGUUGGCAGCUGAGGGUGCUUGGGUUGCUGUUUGCUCUUCCUAACCUAUUCAACCACUAUUGCAAUAUGCAAUGUGCUUCAGAUUGCAAUUUCUCCUCCUCCCCCACAUUAAGUCGCUGCCAUUAACUGCUGUUGGGGGGGGGGGGGUUUGUAUAGCUCAUAGCUUCUUUCAUUCUUGUUGCAGUCGUCAGAGGCCAUGAGUGGCGAGAAAAUUCCUCCUUUCUCCAUGUGUUGCUUUGGGUGCUGCUGUGGAUUCGUGAUCUUCCUCCUCCCCUGCUUGCGUCGAUUUCUUCUUUCUCUUUCCCUUCUCUGUCAUUACUGAUUCAGGUGAAGCUUAGAACUGUUCUCGUUGAUUUCGUGUGUGUAUUUCAGGGGUUGAAGUUGUAGAUAUGCCCUCUCUGCUGAAUCUGUGCAUGUGGGUGCGAAGAGUGAAUGCUAUGAAGUUGAUCUUUCUAUUCGAUUUCAAUAGGCUACGUGAAUGUGUAGGAGGGGGAGCUGAAUUUGAAAAGCAUGAUGAAUCUAAUUGUGAUUGUUCAGGAAUUGUUGGGUAAGGCAUUAAAAGGUUAAGAAGUUUCACUGAAUGGGCGAAAAUCAUGCACAUGAAGGGUUUGAUAUAAGUUUUAAGUGGAAAUCAUAUUCCAAAUUGAGAAAUAGACAAUGGUUAAAGUCAUAUGGGAAAACUCUGAUGUAAAUGAUGAUGUUUAAGAAAUUUUGAAUUAUUGAGAUCUAUUAUAUUGUGUUAAUGUUAGAAGGAAGUUUAUUGAA